AGGGCAAUAGUUCAGUUGGUAGAACGGCGGUCUCCAAAACCGCAUGUCGUGGGUUCAAGUCCUGCUUGCCCUG
rnacentral:tRNA from 3 species